AAGAACUUUUCCAAAUCAAACAAGUCCUAUUUUCGACCAACCCAAAAACAUUUUAAUCCACCAAUAUUCUCAAGAUUUACUAAUUGACUUUCCAUCAAAAUAUCAAUCUUAAUUGUUUCAAGUCUCAAGUAGAGCCAAAUAAAAAUUCUUAAGUCUCAUCCCCAAGUAUAUUUUCCUUCUAUAUACGAGUUCCAUGCAUGAUCCACAUACAGAUUUCAAUAAAUAUUUUCUAGUCCAAGCUUUAAACAUCUUUUUAUAGAUGAAUCUUAAUUUGCCACCAAAAUAAUUAACUUCAACUAGAAGCAAUAUCCACAGUGCCUGAUAUCAAGUUAAACUUCCAAAAUAAUUAUAUUGCACGAUAAUAUCUCAUGAUUAA
rnacentral:lncRNA from 1 species